rnacentral:misc_RNA from 1 species
UCCUCGUGGUGGUCAUCAUUCUAGAGGGCGAGGACACAGGGGAAGGGAUAGAGAGGAAGAUGAGUCACACCUUCUUACCCUAGAGGAAUGGGAAAGGAGAAAAACUGGUGCUAAUGUUUCUGCAGCUCGUAAUUUCCCUGAUGUUAGCCAAGAUGAGGAUCUUGCUAGACAGCUGCAACAUCAACUAGAUUUCGAAGAUUUGCAUGAACAAGAAGAUAG